CUUCCUCAAUCUGCUGCGGGCAGAUGAAGUGAAUAUGGCUGUCCAUGCCGCCGGCGGUCACGAUCUUGCCCUCGCCGGCGAUCGCCUCCGUGCCGGGGCCGACGAUGAUGUUGACGCCCGGCUGCGUAUCCGGGUUGCCGGCCUUGCCGAUGGCAUGGAUACGGCCGUUCUUCAGGCCGAUAUCGGCCUUGUAGACGCCGGUAUAGUCGACGAUCACGGCAUUGGUGAUGACGGUAUCGACGGCGCCGUCGGCGCGCGUCACCUGGCUCUGGCCCAUGCCGUCGCGGAUG
rnacentral:sRNA from 1 species